UGGGGAAUCUUGCGCAAUGCGCGAAAGCGUGACGCAGCAACGCCGCGUGGGGGAAGACGGCCUUCGGGUUGUAAACCCCUUUCAGGAGGGACGAAGGUCAGGCCGUUAAUAGCGGUCCUGACUGACGGUACCUCCAGAAGAAGCCCCGGCUAACUACGUGCCAGCAGCCGCGGUAAUACGUAGGGGGCAAGCGUUGUCCGGAAUUAUUGGGCGUAAAGAGCGCGUAGGCGGUCCGAUAAGUCGGCUGUGAAAGUCCAGGGCUCAACCCUGGAAAGCCGGCCGAUACUGUCGGACUAGAGUCCGGAAGAGGCAAGUGGAAUUCCCGGUGUAGCGGUGAAAUGCGCAGAUAUCGGGAGGAACACCAAUGGCGAAGGCAGCUUGCUGGGACGGUACUGACGCUGAGGCGCGAAAGCGUGGGGAGCAAACAGGAUUAGAUACCCCUGUAGUCC
rnacentral:rRNA from 1 species